rnacentral:rRNA from 1 species
UACGUAGGGUGCGAGCGUUGUCCGGAAUUACUGGGCGUAAAGAGUUCGUAGGCGGUUUGUCGCGUCGUUCGUGAAACUUGGGGCUUAACUCCAAGCGUGCGGGCGAUACGGGCAGACUUGAGUACUACAGGGGAGACUGGAAUUCCUGGUGUAGCGGUGAAAUGCGCAGAUAUCAGGAGGAACACCGGUGGCGAAGGCGGGUCUCUGGGUAGUAACUGACGCUGAGGAACGAAAGCGUGGGUAGCGAACAGG